AUGAAAAGUUAAUGCGCCACUUUGUAAACCUUUAUAGAUUUAGGGGAAGUACAACAAACUACCAACUUUUUGCUCACUGGUUCGUGAUAGUUAUAAUUUGAAUCAGCAAAAAUGUUGAGCUUUUUUAUAGAAUUAGCGUUAAUUAAGUAUUAAGUGUUAUAAUAUAAUAUACAGUCCGGGACAUUUCUAUUUGGACAUAAAAAAUUUGAAUUUUCUGACAUUUAUACGUAUAUUCAGCGUCUAUGUGAACAAAAAAUGUUCUCUCUCUCAUUCUAUGGUCCUUGAGCUUUAAUAACAGGAACAUUUUUUAAAUUGGUAGCAUUAGAAAAUGACAGUAAACAGCUGACUGAUGUAAACAAUAACACAAUAACAAAGGAAAUGUUAUAAUUUUAAUCUAUAUAACCAGUGGCUGCUUUAAAAGUGUGUACUAACGGGAUAAUAAAAUAUUUACGCAAGUAUUUUUGAAGGUAGAAACAUUACUUGUCAUAUAACAAUUAUAGAUUAUAUGAUGAAAGGGGAAUGGCACAACACAGAAUUGCAGUCAGUGAUUGUGCUGGAGAAGGCUGCUGUGACGUACUGACAGUACUGACUGUUGCUGGUUGUAUGAUUUGCGCAAUUUGUGAUAUAUUUUGUGUGAAAAACUGGAAAACAAAGUGCAUACCUGCAUAACCUCACUUAUCGCAGUUUUGCACAUUUUGAUGAUGGGAAUUGCGGUUCAAGUAAUUAUGAGUUAUAGAUGGAGCUCACUGUUUACUUCAAACUGAAGCCUUUUGGGUCCACUUUUUUCGUUGUUAUUUCCUGGUAGCGACUCUUGUUUCAAGCAGAAUGGGUGUAAAGUUAAAAAUAAUCCCAUAAAAUUGUUAAUAUAACUCCGUUGCACUGGCAUGGGGUAUUUGAAAACUUACGUUUAACAAAUACGUCACAAAGUCUCAGCCAUCGUCGAAAAACAUAAUAAGGGCUUUAUAACAAGAAGCGCUUUCUGAUUUUACUGUGGACGUGUGGAAGAAUAGUGUGAAAUAUUGCGAAAAACCAACUUUUCCUCUUGUUUACAUUUUUGUACGUCUCUAUCUGAGAGUAGUCGUCUUGUAUAAAAAAUAUAGCCUACUAAUAAAGGAAAUUAAAGUGUU